rnacentral:lncRNA from 1 species
UAAUCUUAAAUGUUCUCACUGGCCCUACAGGUGAUGGUGACUCUGUCUCCAUGAGACACAAGCAAGGAGGAUGGAAACUGGGUCAUCAUGAUGUCACAUCUCACACCUGACAUUGGAAACAUAAAAAGAAAUAUCAAUGGCAGAAGAAAUGGCUCGGGACUGCAUGGCCUCAGGACAAAACCAUCCACACAUGCUGGUUGCCACUCCUCUGAGAAGAAGGACACAAGUGCCUGUGGUAGCUCCACAGUUCAUAUGAUGCAGGGACUCUGCUCACAGUGGAUCAUGGUGGACAGAUGUACAGGCCUGAAUACUUGCUGCUCUACUUUCUGGUCUCUAAAUACCACCAGGCACCACCUUUGACUCUUUCAUGAAAAUCUAAGGGUAUAGUCAGAGGCAGGCUAAGAACCAGGCUAUGCAGGAGAACAGAGUUGUGACCCACAUGAGUUCAGCCAUGUGGGAAGGGAGGAGUAACUGGGGUCAACUAAGACUAGGAGGGGACAGGACAGAGAAGACCAAGGCAGGAGGGCAGAGGGCAGAGGAGAGACACUGGAGGAGCCCAGGAUCCAGGGAGAAGAGAUGGGAGGGGGAGGGAGGGUGUGAAUUCAGAGCUGUCCCCAACCUGCCUCUCUGAGGGUCCUCAGACUGUUAGCAGCCCUGUGCACAAGCAGCAUCUGAAUGGAGGUUUGCCCCCUAGUGGGGACAGUAAGAAGUUCAAGUUCCUUGAAGGAAGUAUAGCUGCUGGUGCCAGAAUAACCUGUGUCCCUGCCCCACAGCCCUCCCAUGCAGGCAGAAUAUGCAGAGGGCAGCAGGAGGUAGCAGGAGCUCAGCAGCCAGGUCUGGUCCUGAUGAUGCCAGGCUGGAUGAUGCUAAUGUUCUUGCUAUGUCUGCAUGGGACAGUGACCUCUCAUUCCUCAGCACUGUGGUAGGGAGAAGGGAGGAUCUUAGGUCAGGUAACUGUGAAAGCAGUGGAAGCAUGGGGGAGGCCUGGGUCUGUCCCCAGCACCACAGAGAAACAGCCAACAAAAUUAAAUUAAAAACAUCAGAAAUCAGAAACUGAGGCCUCUCAGUACACUUCUGUUUUGCAAGAUUAUUCAGUCUCUCUGUGUCCCCUGCAUUAUUGUUCUCAAUGUAAAAAGUGAUUGACAAUUAUGCAAAAAAAUAAAUAUAUAAAAGGUAA